UAUCUAAAUUAACGAAGGGCCCAAAUCUGAUCGCUGAAAAGAUAAAUACCCGUCCUAAUAAGCGAUAUGAAAUAUUCUACUCAUCUUAAUUAAUACCCCCCAGCUCCCUUCUCUCUUUCUCUCUUUCCUUUUGUAUUUUCCCCCAAAAGAAACCCUCUCCUCUGUAUGUCAAAUUUCUCUCUAAAGCAUGUAAAAUUCCUAACAAUCGACUCUUCCAAAUUUCUCUCUGAAAGCUGAAACCUCACGAUGACAUCUAUUUGAAGUGGGUGAAGACUCAUAAACCGAUGAUGGCAAGUGUUGUCAAUCUAAACAGGCCUGUCUCUUUUCUUCUUCUUUUUUCUUUUAGCGAUAAGAAAUUUCUUAUUUUGGUGAAUAUUAAUUGUAUAAAAUGAUAAUAUUUUGUACCAAUUCUACUGAAUAUUGAUCGUUGUGGUGUAAGAGCAUAAAGUGGGAGUAUUGGGCUUGAUAUGCGGAUGGUGACUAGGGUUAGGUUUAAAGUUGGGGCUUGGAGUGUAAGGAGUUUGAGGGAUUCAGGCCCCCUGUAUCAGAAGGAUCGAGGAUUUAGUUCAGAUCAAAGUGAAAUCAUGAUUUCUCUAGCAACGGAAACUCUCAAAGUGAAGGAUCUUGAAUAGGUAUUAUUAAUGUAGAUUUCAAAGAGAGAAGUGUUGCGACGAAAGUGCUGAAGAAAAGAGGUUUCCCAACAAGGUCUGUCUUCUUUUAUUUCUUCUAUAAUAGUCCAAGAAAGGUCAUUUCUUUGGAAACGACAAGUCCAUUGAAUCUAAACUCAUAUGAGGUCAACACUUUCUCUUUGCAUUAUAUAUACUUUCAGAAUUUAAUUAUUUGAUAACUAUAUUACUGGGAUAUGGUGAUGCUAAGUAGCAUAACUUGAUCAUGUUCUCAUUAUAGAGGACAUCAAAAACUCGAAACUUAAUUUCCUCAAGGUUGAAUACAUAUACAACCCCUUAAACUUGUCACAAAAUUCCAUUUUGGCACUUCAACUGAGGAUAUGAUCUAUUGAAUACCUAAUGUAAGUUAAAAGUGUACCAGACGUUCAUUUUUCAGGGAAAAUAUAUUAGUGGUUUCAUGGCAGGUUAAUUGAUACUACAUAUGCAUUUAUCAUUCAGAUUUGGUUUGUACAUGGUAGCAGGACGUACAUGGUAGCACAACCAAUAUUUUACAUCUACCUAUUUGGAGGUUUUUAAACAUAAAUGCAUUAUGCCUUACUAUGUUUCAACUACUCGGUGUUCACUUGCUUGUUCUUGCUACUUCCGAAAAGCUCUUUCCUAACCAAAAUCUGAUUUUUUUUGGGUUCAUCUCCUAAUACCGAAAGUCUUGCUAACCUUUGAAUCUAGGUGAACAUUUCGGACAAAAAUUGUGGUGCAGAUAUAAUAGCCCUCUAUCAACUGCUUGAAUUACGUUGAGGUGUUUCGGGCAAUUUAGUUGUUCAAUGCACUGGCAUAGUACCAACAUAAUUUUGUCAAGGUAGAUGGCUAUUAGGAACUGAAACUCUAGAAUGCGCUCUCUUAUUAUUUAUGAACUAACAUUUUUUGUGAUUUGGUUGUGAACAGAUUUCAUUUUUCUAAACAAACUACAUUUUAUACAUUUUGCAGGAUUUGGAAGCUUCAGUUUACAAGUAAAGAUGAAAUUUUGAAGAUUUAGAACAAGCUGACAAUUUUUUUUGUUCGACAAAACAUUAUAGUAUUUACUAAGGAUGUUAGCCUUUGUGGGAUAAUGAGUUAUGUGAAUAGUAUUGUGAACUCUGUUUAUAUGCUUUUGAGUAACUAUAUUAGAAGUUGUAUAAUAUCUUAGAAAAUCUUGAAUUAUUUAGCUGCCACAUUUUUGGCCAUAAUCAUUUUUAAUUCUACUUCUUA